rnacentral:rRNA from 1 species
ACUCCUACGGGAGGCAGCAGUGGGGAAUUUUGGACAAUGGGCGAAAGCCUGAUCCAGCAAUGCCGCGUGAGUGAAGAAGGCCUUCGGGUUGUAAAGCUCUUUUGUCAGGGAAGAAACGGUGAGAGCUAAUAUCUUUUGCUAAUGACGGUACCUGAAGAAUAAGCACCGGCUAACUACGUGCCAGCAGCCGCGGUAAUACGUAGGGUGCAAGCGUUAAUCGGAAUUACUGGGCGUAAAGCGUGCGCAGGCGGUUUUGUAAGUCUGAUGUGAAAUCCCCGGGCUCAACCUGGGAAUUGCAUUGGAGACUGCAAGGCUAGAAUCUGGCAGAGGGGGGUAGAAUUCCACGUGUAGCAGUGAAAUGCGUAGAUAUGUGGAGGAACACCGAUGGCGAAGGCAGCCCCCUGGGUCAAGAUUGACGCUCAUGCACGAAAGCGUGGGGAGCAAACAGGAUUAGAAACCCUUGUAGUCCC